rnacentral:piRNA from 1 species
ACUGAAUCGGGGUUCUCUGCAAAAG